GCGGGCAAACAGCUGGAAGGGCAAGACACUGGCCGAACUCAAGACAGAACAGCAAUAGCGUGCCUGCCUAAAGGUUCUUCUCGGGAGUGUGUGACACAGUUCUCCCAGGGUUACCAGCUGAAGAGCCAUUCCUGGACUCCAGCUUCAACGUCAUGGGCAGCCCAGAAGGGCGCUUCCAUUUCGCCAUCGACCGCGGUGGCACCUUCACAGAUGUCUUUGCCCAGUGCCCUGGAGGGCAUGUGCGUGUCCUGAAGCUGCUCUCAGAGGACCCUGCCAACUAUGCAGAUGCACCCACAGAGGGCAUCCGCCGAAUUCUAGAGCAGGAGGAGGGUGUGCUGCUGCCUCGAGGCCGACCGCUAGACACCAGUCGCAUUGCCAGCAUCCGCAUGGGUACCACGGUGGCCACCAAU
rnacentral:lncRNA from 1 species